UGUGCUUCAGUGGUUAGGGGGUUUGGCUUGUGAUCAUAAGGUCCUGAGUUCAAUUCUUAGCA
rnacentral:tRNA from 1 species